GACGAACGCUGGCGGCGUGCCUAACACAUGCAAGUGGAGCGACGAACCAGGCUUCGGCCUGGGGCAAAGCCGCGAACGGGUGAGUAACACGUGGGUAACCUGCCCUGAUGAUUGGGACAACCCGAGGAAACUCGGGCUAAUACCGAAUGUGCCCUCCGGCCAUAAGGCCGCUGGGGAAAGGAAGCUUCGGCCUCCGCAUCGGGAUGGGCCCGCGGCCCAUUAGCUUGUUGGUGAGGGAACGGCUCACCAAGGCGACGAUGGGUAGCUGGUCUGAGAGGGCGGGCAGCAAACCUGGGACUGGGACACGGCCCAGACUCCUACGGGAGGCAGCAGUGGGGAAUCUUGCGCAAUGCGCGAAAGCGUGACGCAGCAACGCCGCGUGGGGGAAGAAGGCCUUCGGGUUGUAAACCCCUUUCAGUUGGGACGAAGCUUCGCCGGUGAAUAGCCGGCCGGAGUGACGGUACCUUCAGAAGAAGCCCCGGCUAACUACGUGCCAGCCGCCGCCGUAACAC
rnacentral:rRNA from 1 species